rnacentral:misc_RNA from 1 species
GAUGAAGAACGCAGCGAAAUGCGAUAAGUAAUGUGAAUUGCAGAAUUCAGUGAAUCAUCGAAUCUUUGAACGCACAUUGCGCCCGCCAGUAUUCUUGCGGGCAUGCCUGUUCGAGCGUCAUUUCAACCAUCAAGCCCCAGGCUUGUGUUGGGGACCUGCGGCUGCCGCAGGCCCUGAAAACCAGUGGCGGGCUCGCUGUCACACCGGGCGUAGUAGAUUUUAUCUCGCUCUGGGCGUGCUGCGGGUUCCGGCCGUUAAAAAACCCUUUUAACCCAAGGUUGACCUCGGAUCAGGUAGGAAUACCCGCUGAACUUAAGCAUAUCAAUAAGCGGAGGA